GACCUGUUGGCGCAUUCGGCAGCGCACCCACAAUAAUUGGGGGUGUUCCGUCAAAAAGUUAUGUGGGAGACCCCAGUUCGACUCUGGGACAGGUCA